UACGAGGGGGGCGAGCGUUGUUCGGAAUUAUUGGGCGUAAAGGGUGCGUAGGCGGUUUUGUAAGUCUUAUGUGAAAUCUAUGGGCUCAACUCAUAGACUGCAUGAGAAACUGCAGGGCUUGAGUAUGGGAGAGGUGAGUGGAAUUCCUGGUGUAGCGGUGAAAUGCGUAGAUAUCGGGAGGAACACCUGUGGCGAAAGCGGCGCACUGGACCAUAACUGACGCUGAGGCGCGAAAGCUAGGGGAGCAAACAGG
rnacentral:rRNA from 1 species